rnacentral:tRNA from 1 species
GCGGGAGUAACUCAGGGGUAGAGUGCCAUCUUGACAAGGUGGAAGUCGGCGGUUCAAACCCGCCCUCCCGCACCA